GCCGCCUGAGCUUAGAUGGUAGAGCAACGGAUUUGUAAUCCGUCGGUCGGGGGUUCGAUUCCCCUGGGCGGCU
rnacentral:tRNA from 2 species